GGCAGAGUACCUUGCAUCUGCUCCCUGCCUCCCUUUCUUCCACCCUUUACUUGGCUACUUGUCACUGUGUUGUUGCAGCCAUGUUGGGCCCAGGAUAUGAGACAGACAAGGAAGUGUCACAGAAGACACACAGAAGAUGGGUAUCUGCCCUAAAGAACUCAGUAUCUAAGUACAC